GACGAACGCUGGCGGCGUGCUUAACACAUGCAAGUCGAACGGAAAGGCCCUGCUUUUGUGGGGUGCUCAAGCGGCGAACGGGUGAGUAACACGUGAGUAACCUGCCCUUGACUUUGGGAUAACUUCAGGAAACUGGGGCUAAUACCGGAUAGGAGCUCCUGCUGCAUGGUGGGGGUUGGAAAGUUUCGGCGGUUGGGGAUGGACUCGCGGCUUAUCAGCUUGUUGGUGGGGUAGUGGCUUACCAAGGCUUUGACGGGUAGCCGGCCUGAGAGGGUGACCGGCCACAUUGGGACUGAGAUACGGCCCAGACUCCUACGGGAGGCAGCAGUGGGGAAUAUUGCACAAUGGGCGGAAGCCUGAUGCAGCAACGCCGCGUGCGGGAUGACGGCCUUCGGGUUGUAAACCGCUUUCGCCUGUGACGAAGCGUGAGUGACGGUAAUGGGUAAAGAAGCACCGGCUAACUACGUG
rnacentral:rRNA from 1 species